rnacentral:rRNA from 1 species
AGAGCGAACGCUGGCGGCAGGCCUAACACAUGCAAGUCGAACGCCGUAGCAAUACGGAGUGGCAGACGGGAUAGUAACACGUGGGAACGCGCCCUUCGGUUCGGAAUAACUCAAGGAAACUUGAGCUAAAUACCGGAUACGCCCUUACGGGGAAAGAUUUAUUGCCGAAGGAACGGCCCGCGUCGGAUUAGCUAGUUGGUGAGGUAAUGGCUCACCAAGGCGACGAUCCGUAGCUGGUCUGAGAGGAUGACCAGCAUCACUGGGACUGAGACACGGCCCAGACUCCUACGGGAGGCAGCAGUGGGGAAUAUUGGACAAUGGGCGCAAGCCUGAUCCAGCCAUGCCGCGUGGAUGAUGAAGGCCCUAGGGUUGUAAAGUCCUUUAACGGGAGAUAAUGACGGUACCGUAGAAUAAGCCCGGCUAACUUCGCGCCAGCAGCCGC